rfam:Streptomyces sp. RSD-27 Contig2286, whole genome shotgun sequence.
CGCCCCGGCGCGGAUCCCGUGGGGGGAAUCCGCCGCCGGGGAAAGGGAAGCGCCCCGCCCGUCGAC